rnacentral:lncRNA from 1 species
CCCAAAACACAUCCCCCAUGUCCAGGUGCUUGUGCUACUUCUAUCAGAGUCACUAAGGAAAACAGCAGGGGCCGAGGGGAGGGGAGGAGCUUUCAGAGGGAGACAGUGCUGGAGGGGAAGCAGGCAAGCAUUCUACACUAGGGCUGGGGAUCCAGGGAGAGGGAGGCAAGACUAUGGUACUGCAAAACCCACUUACCUCAAAUUAGCCUCACCUGUACCCAAACAUCCUGUACUGGUAGGCUUCUGGUCUAUCCAUAGAAAUCUGCAGAAAAAGAGAAAGCAUACCACGUUAGUCUUGCACUGACCUCCUCCCUGAAUCUUGACCUACCGCUAUCCCUAAUCAGAAAUGCCUUAGUUAUGCAAAACAAAAAUACCUCCCGCUGAAUUAGGACACUAUUUCCUCUUUCUCUGUAAUGCAAAUAAAAAUAUUUUGUCAUCUACAUAACAUCUGCCGUACAUAGUAAGAUAAUUAUUUAUCAUUCUCAUUUAAGGAAUAUGAUUCAGAACUGAUUACAAUCCAUACUUUAUUUCCACAAUGACUGAAAAAAAGACUUAAGUGAAAGAAAGGAAUUUCCUGUUUCACUGGCCAACAUACAAGCCAACAUGGAGGAUGUGGCAGAUAGAAACUCAUCAUAUAUGAAACGGACAGAAGCUCAAUGAUAAGGGUUCUGCUUACACAGGUGUGGAAAGAAGUGGAAAACAAUCCUUGACCCACUUGUCAGCAAGAAAUAUAAUUUGAAAAUAUAUUCAUAUUAUCUCAAAAACAUAUGAGAUCUUGUGUUUCAUUAUCAAUUACCAGGCAGCACCCAACCUAACCAUUUCUCAUAUGUUUAGAAUAUAUGACCUCUCUCAAUAACUCAUUCCAACUUUUAAAAAUUGUCAUAUAAAGGUAAGCCUUUUUUAUCUAACUUCAAUCACUCCUAUGACAUGAUUGAAACACCCAGAAUGAUGCUAAGCGCAUACAAGUUCCUCCAUAAACCCUUGUUGAUGGGAUGGUGAUUUCAGUCUAUUUCCCUUUUCUCUGACCAUAGUGGAGACAGGAGAAAUGCUUAGACAGAAACAUUAGCAAGAUGGUUAGAGAUAAGAGGAAGUUGAUGAGGGACAAACGCAGAGUAGAACUGAGGAGAAAAACAACGUGGAAUGACUCACUGUCCUUAGCACAGUACGAUCUAUUUUAGAAGACGCUGCCAGCCACCAACAAAACACGAACUGUAAAAACAAAACUUGCUAAAGCAUACAUUCAGAAAACCUAGUGCUUCACUACUUUCUCACUCAAUUUCAUGCAAAUAACUCCCAAAUCAAUCAAUCAAUCUCUCUCUCUCUCUAACCCUGACCUCUCCCAGAGUUCCAGUUCUACUUCCACAACUGCAUAAUUGUAUUGGGUGGUAAGAUGGGAUGUUCUUUCUCCAUGAUUCACUCUGUCCUUCCUCCAUGGCCUUACUGCUAGUGUGAAAGGCAUCUUCGAUUGUCCAGUCUCUUGAAUCCAACAAAGUACAGAAAAGACCUGACAGUGCCGGUGCAAGAAGGAGCUAGAGAUCCCUGGGGGAAAGGGUAGGCAACCCACUGGCGAUCGGUUAACAGCAGGACUCUCUGGUGAUGGAAUGGACUUGCCUGUUAUCCCCUGCAAUAAAAGAUCCAACAAACGGGUUAAAUUUGGA